CUCUAUUCAGCCUGGUUUAUCAAGGACACGCUGACUUUAAAGGAACUCGUGGGACAAUCACACUUUAACACGGGCAGAAAACCUUUCAUGUGCGUGAACAUCCUGCAGUGUGUGUUUGGAGAUCAGAUGACAACCUGCCGGAGUCUGCUCUCCUACUCGAGCUGACCGGUACAUCUGGCAUAGAACACAUGGAAGCUACGGAUACUGGCUGCUGAAAAAAACAUGAUAUAUAGCUCUAAAAAUUCAUCUAUGAAUGAAAUCCGUGGGGGCUGUCUGUCUUCCUAUGUACCCCAAUCUCAAGUUCCUGCUUGACAGAUUAAACUGAACUAUGCAGAACAAA